ACUCAAAGGAAUAGACGGGGGCCCGCACAAGCGGUGGAGCAUGUGGAUUAAUUCGAUGCAACGCGAAGAACCUUACCAAGGCUUGACAUGGAGACGACCGCCAUAGAGAUAUGGCUUUCUUCGGACGUCUCACACAGGUGGUGCAUGGUUGUCGUCAGCUCGUGUCGUGAGAUGUUGGGUUAAGUCCCGCAACGAGCGCAACCCUUAUCUUCAGUUACCAGCAAGUAAAGUUGGGGACGCUGGAGAGACUGCCGUGGAUAACACGGAGGAAGGUGGGGAUGAUGUCAAAUCAUCAUGCCCCUUACGCCUUGGGCUUCACACGUGCUACAAUGGUCUUUACAAAGUGAAGCGAGACUGUGAAGUGGAGCGAACCACAAAAAAAGACCCCAGUUCGGAUUGCAGGCUGCAACUCGCCUGCAUGAAGUUGGAAUCGCUAGUAAUCGCGAAUCAGCAUGUCGCGGUGAAUACGUUCCCGGGCCUUGCACACACCGCCCGU
rnacentral:rRNA from 1 species